AUAUUCCUGAAGAGUCCAAUAAUAGGACGAAACAACUAUUCAGUUAU
rfam:Schistosoma mattheei strain Denwood, Zambia genome assembly, scaffold: SMTD_scaffold0023268